AGCGUGCGUGCGUGCGUGCCAUCUUUGUCACCGCGCCCGCCGCUUGCCCCCCGUACGUGCGGCGCGCGAAUCUGAGCCCCCGUCAUCCACACGCCGCGGCGGUUAGGAUCCGGUUCCCGAUCGGCACCGACACGGGGAGAUCCGCCCAGAAAAUGACCCGGAAAAGUUCCAAAGCUGGCGCGCGGCGAGGAGAUGGAUGGGAUGGGGAAAUGAAGAGGGAGCGGCCGAGAAGGAGACGGCCGCGCCGCCGCCGCCGCGAGGCCAUGGCUGCCGGAGCGGUGGCGGCUCCGGCUCCGGCUCCAGGCGUCCCGGCGCACCCGGAUCCCGCGCGAGGUUGGUGGCGACGAUUUUUUUAGGCGGUUCUUCUUCUCCGGCUCUGUUGGCUGUUUCAGUGUGCUUCUACUGCCACGGCCUGCCGCCCCUUGUUUCGCGGCGGAUCUGUCUCGAUCCGUUGAAGCUGGCACGCACAACGGAAGCAAGGUGGAGAGAACAUACAGGGUGCCGCUCGAGGGGGCGUGCACGCAUCGGCGUCCCCAGGAGCGUGGCAUGAGCAUGUUGGAGGGUGCUCAGCCUCGGUACAAUCGUUCUAGACUACAGGGAUAAUCAGUGCUAAUCCUUGAGCUCCAGCUUCACUACUCACUACAGGGAUAAUUCACACAAUGCUUUCCCUGCAGGCGCAAGAAAUGGAUAAAUGUGAUGAAGCCCUUGGACUGCUGAAUUUGCACUGGAGUCUGUCCUAAACUAUUCAGGAGCUUACCAACAACUGUCAUGCAUUCUUGGUCAUGAAUGCAGCCAGGCAGACUCCCCGACGGUGACACGGGAGAUUCAGUCGACCAUUUUUGUUCUAGGCUUGCAUUGUGUGAUUUUUCGGAAGCAUAUGCUCAAGCUGCAACAGUAUUGUGACUGCAGAAUUCAGCUAAAUUUCCGUUUUUUAUAGAGUACCGACCAGUCAAAUAUCAGUCCUGUUCACAUCACCUUGAUGCAAGCACAUCAUUGGAUCUCAGGUUUGCAUUGGUAAAAUUUGUAAGUUGUAGUCCUAGUAUGCAAGGCUGUUAGGUGCAUGGGUGUCAGGGGUGCACUGUCAAGCUCUUUUAUAUCUGAAAGGGACCACUGAGCAAACGGUACUACCAUCUUUACACAUUACUACUGUGCAGUAACUUGCACCACUAGAUGCGAAACCCACCACAGGAUAGGAUAUAUCUCACAUAAAUCCAACGGUUAUGCUUCCCCUCUGCCUCUCCUAUACCCCUCCAUGGCGUUGGUCGGUGGCAUCCAUUUCCGAAAACAAAGCUAUGUCCAACCGUUGCUUCUGUGCUUCAGUAUGCAGGUGUUUCAGGAGAACAUAAACACGCAGCGCAGGAAUCAAGGCACACAACACGGUGAUAAGGGAUCACAAUGAGAUGAAAUACUUUUGUCACAACUGUCAAAUGUAAAAUUCCACAUGGACUUUAUUCUUUUUCGAAUCAGUGUCAGUUGCAUUUGUCGUAUGAAGUAUAUGUUACGGUCUGAUAAAUUUAUCCGUUCUCAUGACUGUAAACUGUCGAGCACCAUGUUAGGAGGGUAAAUCACGAACAGUUGAUGUUUUACACCUAUAACUUCAAGAGCAAGCACAAGCAGUCUUCAGGCCAUCCCAAGAUUGGGUCUGCGCUUUUCUAUCGCUAACCUGGCUCUGUUGUUUGUUAAGUCCAGGACGACAUUUCACAUGUAUGCUACUGAUAAUAGCCUGUUGCUGCAAGUGUUUGGUUGUUUUCUACUCCCUCCUUUCCAUAAUUAUGGAACAGAGGGAGCAGUAUUUUGUUAGCAUUGGAUCUCUGCACUUUCUCGGUUUCCUUACAUGAAAUCAGCGGUCGUCUACCUUCUGAACUGAAAGACAAACAAUUUUACUUAGCCUAGCAUAUUUGAUGAUUUACUGUUUGUUUACUUAUUUCUUCACUGCAAUUAACCACUAUGCAUUUGAGCAUUUGAUUCGUUAACUGAAUCUGAUUUCACGCAGACUUCAUGACUUUGACUUGCGAGAUUUGGUCCAACAUUGUGUUACACGCUUACAUUGGUGCUUUUCUGGAGUAACGAUCAAGCUGCAACAGUUUUGUGACUGCAGAAUCCAGCAGGCCUUGCAGGGUGUCUGAGGAGAAGAUAAACACGCUACACAGAAAUCAAUACACAAAGCAUGGUGAUCGGGGAUCACGAUCACGAUGAGAUGAGAUGAAAUACAGGAGGCAGCCUACUAGCUCAGAUUCCACGUGCGCAGGGUGUCUCGGGAGAAGAUAAAUGCGCCACACAGAAAUUAAGACACGAAGCACGUUGAUGAUCGGGGAUCACGAUCACGAUGAGAUGAAAUACAGGAGCUAGGCAGCUUUGCUCAGAUUCUACUGUGAGCCAAGGUUCCAUUCGGUCAUUCCCAUGUACUUUGUUUACUUCAGUCCAACUUCGGACAAAACACAGGCAAGCUGUUUUUUACUACUCACAAACCGUCGGAUCACCAGCAGGUGACAGAUCUAUUUAUAUUUUUCUGAUAAUAGCCUGUUGCUGCAAGUGUUUGGUUGUUUUCUAUUCCGUCUGUAAACUAAUAUAAGACAUUUUAGGUCACUACUUUAGCGACCUAAAACAUCUUAUAUUUGUUUACAGACAGAGUAGUAUUUUGUUGGCAUUGGGUCUACAUACUUUCUCAGCCUCCCUACACGACAUUGGGGUUUGUCUACCUUCUGAACCAAAAGACAAAUAGUUACUCUAUUUAGCUUAGACAUUUGAUGUUUCGAUGCUGCAUUGUGUGUUUACUUAAUUCUUCACUGCAAUGAACUAUCAUGCGUUUGAGCAUCUACCUCACUAACUGAAUUUGGUUUAUGCAACAUGACUGACAGGGGAGGUUCCAUCGACCAUUUUACUGUAGGCUUGCAUUAGGAUUUUCUUCAAGCAUGCUGAGGCCGCAACAGUAUUGUUACUUUAGAAUUCAGUGGGGUGAACUUCCUUUCGGUUUAGAAAACCAACCAGUUUAAUUUCAGUUUCGCUCACAUCACCUUGAUGCAAGCUCAUCAUUGGAGCUCAGGUUUGCAUUGGUAAAACAUGCAAGUUGCAGAUCUAGCAUAUAAGGCUGUUAGGUGCACGAGGGUCAGAGGGUGUACUGUCAAUUUUUUUUAUCUGAAAGGGACCGCUGAGCAAACGUUAGUGCCAUCUUUUACACAGUACUAUUGCACAGUAUAACACACCCCUCCCCACCUCCUCUCAAAAAGAAAAGAAAAGGACACCUAUAAGUCCUGAACGUUCGGGAUUUGGCCAGGGUAAAACGAAUGUUUUUUGUGACAAUUUAUGUUUGUUGACCAUGCCAAGUUUAGUUGACAAGCAUGACAAAAUUCAUCCUCAGUUUAUUUUUUGUCAGAAAAUUGCCGUGUCAUCCUCGCGUCAACUAAAAUUGCCAUAAAAAACGUACGAUUUGUCAUGGUCAAAA